rnacentral:sRNA from 1 species
UUCCUACACGAGUAGUAGAUGGCGGUGU